rnacentral:rRNA from 1 species
GGCGAAUGAAGCGGGAAAAGCUCAAGUUUGAAAUCUGUGAGGCUCAGAGUUGUAAGCUGAAGAGGCAUGGCCGACGGGGUCCGUCCAAUUUUCUCGGAACAGUGAGUCAUGGAGGGUGAGAACCCCGUAAAUGCUCGGAACCUGUCCGUGCCGUGUCCUCGAAGAGUCGGGUUGUUUGGGAAUGCAGCUCAAAAUGGGUGGUAAAUUUCACUAAGGCUAAAUAUUGGCGAGAGACCGAUAGCGAACAAGUAGAGUGAUCGAAAGAUGAAAAGUACUUUGAAAAGAGAGUGAAACAGUACGUGAGAUUGUUGAAAGGAAGCGUUUGCAUCAGCCCAUGGCCGUCGUCGACAUCCGGGCUCUGUCCUGCACUCGUCGCGGUCGGGCCAGCGUCGGUCCGCCUGCCGAUAAGGCCUUGGGAAUGUGCCUCCUUGGGAGGGUAUAGCCCUCGGCGUCAUGCGGCACGGCGGGGCCGAGGUCCGCGGUUCUCCAGGACGCUGGCGUAAUGGUUCCAAGCGACCCGUCUUGAAACACGGACCAAGGAGUCUAACAUCUAUGCGAGUGUUUGGGUGUCAAGCCCGUCCGCGCAAUGAAAGUGAAUGCAGGCGGGAGCUUUGGUGCACCGUCGACCGGUCCGGGGGUUUACCGAAUCUGAGUAAGAGCAUAGCUGUUGGGACCCGAAAGAUGGUGAACUAUGCCUGAAUA